GAUGAACGCUGGCGGCGUGCCUAACACAUGCAAGUCGAACGGCCAGACGAGUACUUUGCUCUGCUGACGUGUGGCGCACGGGUGAGUAAUACAUGUGGAUAACUCCCCUAUAUGAGGGGAACCACUCGGAAGCAGGGGUACUACCGCAUACGAAUUUCUUGAACAAGCGGGUGCACUACGGACCUCCGGCUUUACGGUCGGUCGUUGGUGGAUCGGCGCGGUAUUGGCUUGUUGGUAGGGUAACGGCUUACCAAGGCGACGAUGCGUAGCCGAUCUGAGAGGACGACCGGCCACACUGGAACUGAGACACGGUCCAGACUCCUACGGGAGGCAGCAGUGGGGAAUCUUGGGCAAUGGGCGAAAGCUUGACGCAGCAAUGCCGCGUGUGUGAAGAAGGCCUUCGGAUCGUAAAGCUCUUUUGUCCGGGAAGAACAACUUUGUACUAAUACAGGCGGGGGUUGACGGUACCGGAUGAAAAAGCACCGGCUAACUACGUG
rnacentral:rRNA from 1 species